rnacentral:rRNA from 1 species
AGAAUGAACGCUAGCGAUAUGCUUAACACAUGCAAGUUGAACGUUGUUUUCGAGUCAAAAUGAAAACAAAGUGGCGAACGGGUGCGUAACACGUGGGAAUCUGCCAAACAGUUUGGGCCAAAUCCUGAAUGAAUGAAAGCUAAAAAGCGCUGUUUGAUGAGCCCACGUAGUAUUAGGUAGUUGGUUAGGUAAAAGCUGACCAAGCCUACGAUGCUUAGCUGGUCUUUUCGGAUGAUCAGCCACACUGGGACUGAGACACGGCCCCAGACUCCUACGGGAGGCAGCAGUGGGGAAUCUUGGACAAUGGGCGAAACCCUGACGCAGCAACGCCGCGUGGAGGAUGAAGUCCCCUUGGGACGUAAACUCCUUUCGAUCGGGACGAUAAUGACGGUACCGGAAGAAGAAGCCCCGGCUAACUUCGUGCCAGCAGCCGC